AGUGAACGCUGGCGGCGUGCCUAACACAUGCAAGUCGAACGAUGAAGAGCAGCUUGCUGCUCGGAUUAGUGGCGCACGGGUGAGUAAUGCAUAGGUAAUGUGCCCCUUAGUCUGGGAUAGCCACUGGAAACGGUGAUUAAUACUAGAUACUCCUUCUUGUCCUAAGGCAAGUCGGGAAAGUUUUUCGCUAAGGGAUCAGCCUAUGUCCUAUCAGCUUGUUGGUGAGGUAACGGCUCACCAAGGCUAUGACGGGUAUCUGGUUUGAGGGGAUGAUCAGACACACUGGAACUGAGACACGGUCCAGACUCCUACGGGAGGCAGCAGUGAGGAAUAUUGCACAAUGGAGGAAACUCUGAUGCAACAACGCCGCGUGGAGGAUGACGCAUUUCGGUGUGUAAACUCCUUUUAAGAGGGAAGAUUAUGACGGUACCUCUUGAAUAAGCACCGGCUAACUCCGUGCCAGCAGCCGCCGUAA
rnacentral:rRNA from 1 species